UGGGGAAUUUUGGACAAUGGGCGCAAGCCUGAUCCAGCCAUGCCGCGUGCGGGAAGAAGGCCUUCGGGUUGUAAACCGCUUUUGUCAGGGAAGAAAAGGCUCUCUCUAAUAAAGGGGGCUCAUGACGGUACCUGAAGAAUAAGCACCGGCUAACUACGUG
rnacentral:rRNA from 1 species